GAAGAAUAACAGCUUUUCUUUUUCUUAUCUCAUAAAAAGACUAUUACUUACCUAUAAAUUACAUAACAGUGUCAACAUGUUAUCACUGCUAGUAUUGUCACUGUUUCCAAAAACAAGUAUGUUGCCAGAGGGCAGGGCAACUACACCUUAUUUGAAUUCAUUGCACAGCACAAAAGAAGUGCUAUUUCAGUCAACCAAUUACUGACUCCGCCAGUUGUGCAGUGAAUAAUUCCUGUCUUUCUUUUAGGACAGUAUCUAAUAGUUCAGUUUGUCUCCACCUGCAUUUUUAACAUAUGACCACAUACUCACCCUCCACUCACCCGUCAGAGAAACACACACUGGACAGACCGGUAAGUUUUCCAAAACAUUCCAAAAUACUUUAUUAAUGGAACUGAAUGAAAUCACAGGCAGCAGAGCAGAGGAUAUAAUUGAGAUGGGAGAUGAGCGGUGAAUAACCAAUCACACACACACACACACACACACACACACUCACAGAGAGAGAGAGAGAGAGACAGGCAGACAGACAGACAGACAGACACACACACAGACAUUUAAGUAUACUUGACUUAUACUUAGAAAAAAUUCUCAAUAUUUAUUUGAGCUAUAGCUAUUUGUUCUCCGGGAAUCCAUGUUUUCAUUUUUAUGCGGUAGAGGACGCUAUUACACAUCUUCAGUACAGAAACAAGCCAAGAAGAACCCGAAACAACAGACGAUUCCACAAUCCACAUGUAAUAUAACACGAUCAGACAUAAAACAGCAUCAAAACUGUGUAACACUAUGGAAUAAAACGUUGACCCAUGAAGAGGAAGAUCAACAGGAGACUGGAAUGAGGAGAGGAGUAGGAGACUGGAAACAGGGACAAGGAGAGGAUCAAGGAGGUAAGUGUUCUUCAGGUGAGUAACAAUCCAAACAGAUGCAGUCUAAGCCAUAGACAAGGCCAGACAAGGACUGUAUGUGGUGCUGGCUUUUAUGGAGAGUUGAGGAUGGUGUGGUGAUUGUGAAGUGUGUGCAGAUGAAAGCCAAGGGGGAUUGUGGGAGAUUUAGAUGAUCCUGACAUCGCCCUUCUCAAAUACUUAAUAUCACCACUAAGAUGUCUGAUGCAAAAAGACAACAAUUAGCAUAAAGUCAAAUUUGAUAAUUAAAUAUCAUGUCUCCUCUAACACUGGGAAAUCUGUUUGUUUUUGGGUAGUUGACAUUAAAAGUCAAGCAUUGUCAUGUGGUGUGUGUGAUACUGCUGGACUUCAAAACUAUAGCCUAUUAAACCUUUUUUCCCCUGAUUCUUUUAUAAUUAUUAUACAUGCUGCCUUUGUGAUUCCAUAUAAGCUGAGAGAUACAAGGAAUAUUUGUUCUUUUAAAAUACCUAUUUGUCACAUUGUGAGGCCAAGUCAAUAAGGUAAAAGGUUUAAAAGAUUAAAACAAUUAUUUAACAAUAACACAUACAUCUUUUUUCUACUGCUAUGUCAGAUAUAUGAUUCUGUUAAUUUGCUGUCGAUCUUCACAUCUACCAAUAUGUAGAGCACGUUUUCAUCUACAAAUGCCUCAUUGCACCUGACGUCACUAAUCUGAAGCCACACAGUUAAAGCACAACUUCCACCCACAAACACACAGUCUUGUUUGACUACAUUACAGAGGGCACGCUUGCUUUGUAUUUUCUAUGUUCCAACCUCCACAAAACCCAGUCCACGUCAUUAUAUUUAAAUAUAAGCAUGAUUUGGCGAUUUAUGAGCAUUUAACUAGUGAGAAUUCAUAAAUUGUUCUCACAGGUUGGUUAUUAUAUUUUAUUAUAUUACUGAGGACAUUUGGCUCUCACAAGUAGUCUAUAAACCUGUACAUAUACUGUAACCUGACAAUUCAUUUACACAAUUUAUUAUUCACAAC
ensembl:lncRNA